UCAAGUAAUUAAGUGCAUGUGGUGGAUGCCUUGGCAGUCAGAGGCGAUGAAAGACGUGAUAGCCUGCGAAAAGCUCCGGGGAGGCGGCAAAUAUCCUUUGAUCCGGAGAUGUCUGAAUGGGGGAACCCACCUACUUUAAGGUAGGUAUUGCAACAUGAAUACAUAGUGUUGCAAGGCGAACGAGGGGAAGUGAAACAUCUCAGUACCCUUAGGAAAAGAAAUCAAUUGAGAUUCCCUCAGUAGCGGCGAGCGAACGGGGAUCAGCCCAUUAAGUUAUGUGUGUUUUAGUGGAACGCUCUGGGAAGUGCGAACGUAGAGGGUGAUAUUCCCGUACACGAAAGGGCACACAUAAUGAUGACGAGUAGGGCGAGGCACGUGAAACCUUGUCUGAAUAUGGGGGGACCAUCCUCCAAGGCUAAAUACUCCUGACUGACCGAUAGUGAACCAGUACCGUGAGGGAAAGGCGAAAAGAACCCCUGUGAGGGGAGUGAAAUAGAUCCUGAAACCGCAUGCAUACAAGCAGUGGGAGCACCUUCGUGGUGUGACUGCGUACCUUUUGUAUAAUGGGUCAGCGACUUAUAUUCAGUAGCGAGGUUAACCGUAUAGGGGAGCCGUAGAGAAAUCGAGUCUUAAUAGGGCGUUUAGUUGCUGGGUAUAGACCCGAAACCAGGCGAUCUAUCCAUGAGCAGGUUGAAGGUUGGGUAACACUAACUGGAGGACCGAACCCACUGUCGUUGAAAAGCCAGGGGAUGACUUGUGGAUAGGGGUGAAAGGCUAAUCAAGCCUGGUGAUAGCUGGUUCUCCCCGAAAGCUAUUUAGGUAGCGCCUCGGACGAAUACCAUAGGGGGUAGAGCACUGUUUCGGCUAGGGGGUCAUCCCGACUUACCAAACCGAUGCAAACUCCGAAUACCUAUGAGUACUAUCCGGGAGACAGACUGCGGGUGCUAACGUCCGUAGUCAAGAGGAAAACAAUCCAGACCGCCAGCUAAGGCCCCAAAAUCAUAGUUAAGUGGGAAACGAUGUGGGAAGGCAUAGACAGCUAGGAGGUUGGCUUAGAAGCAGCCACCCUUUAAAGAAAGCGUAAUAGCUCACUAGUCGAGUCGGCCUGCGCGGAAGAUGUAACGGGGCUAAAACUAUGUGCCGAAGCUGCGGAUGUAUACUUUGUAUACGUGGUAGGGGAGCGUUCUGUAAGCCGAUGAAGGUGUGUUGAGAAGCAUGCUGGAGGUAUCAGAAGUGCGAAUGCUGACGUGAGUAACGACAAAACGGGUGAAAAACCCGUUUGCCGAAAGACCAAGGGUUCCAGUCCAACGUUAAUCGGGGCUGGGUGAGUCGACCCCUAAGGCGAGGCCGAAAGGCGUAGUCGAUGGGAAAAUGGUUAAUAUUCCAUUACUUCUGUGUAAUGCGAUGAGAGGACGGAGAAGGCUAAAUCAGCCUGGCGUUGGUUGUCCAGGUGAAAGGAUGUAGGCAUGUAUCUUAGGCAAAUCCGGGGUACUCUAUGCUGAGAUCUGAUAGCAAGCUGUACUUGUACAGCGAAGUGGUUGAUGCCAUGCUUCCAGGAAAAGUCUCUAAGCUUCAGUUACACAGGAAUCGUACCCGAAACCGACACAGGUGGUCAGGUCGAGUAGACCAAGGCGCUUGAGAGAACUCUGCUGAAGGAACUAGGCAAAAUGGUACCGUAACUUCGGGAGAAGGUACGCUGUUGUUGGUGAUGGAACUCGCUUCCUGAGCUGACGACAGCCGCAGAAACCAGGCCGCUGCAACUGUUUAUUAAAAACAUAGCACUCUGCAAACACGAAAGUGGACGUAUAGGGUGUGAUGCCUGCCCGGUGCUGGAAGGUUAAUUGAUGGGGUUAGCGUAAGCGAAGCUCUUGAUCGAAGCCCCAGUAAACGGCGGCCGUAACUAUAACGGUCCUAAGGUAGCGAAAUUCCUUGUCGGGUAAGUUCCGACCUGCACGAAUGGCAUAAUGAUGGCGGCGCUGUCUCCAGCAGAGGCUCAGUGAAAUCGAAAUCGCUGUGAAGAUGCAGUGUACCCGCGGCUAGACGGAAAGACCCCGUGAACCUUUACUGCAGCUUGACACUGAACUUUGACCUUACUUGUGUAGGAUAGGUGGGAGGCUUUGAAGCUGGAACGCUAGUUCCAGUGGAGCCGUCCUUGAAAUACCACCCUGGUAAUGUUGAGGUUCUAACUCUGUCCCGUGAUCCGGGACGAGGACCGUGUCUGGUGGGUAGUUUGACUGGGGCGGUCUCCUCCUAAAGAGUAACGGAGGAGUACGAAGGUGCGCUCAGCGUGGUCGGAAAUCACGCGUAGAGUAUAAAGGCAAAAGCGCGCUUAACUGCGAGACCCACAAGUCGAGCAGGUACGAAAGUAGGUCUUAGUGAUCCGGUGGUUCUGUAUGGAAGGGCCAUCGCUCAACGGAUAAAAGGUACUCUGGGGAUAACAGGCUGAUACCGCCCAAGAGUUCAUAUCGACGGCGGUGUUUGGCACCUCGAUGUCGGCUCAUCUCAUCCUGGGGCUGAAGCAGGUCCCAAGGGUAUGGCUGUUCGCCAUUUAAAGAGGUACGCGAGCUGGGUUUAGAACGUCGUGAGACAGUUCGGUCCCUAUCUACCGUGGGCGCUGGAAAUUUGAGAGGAUCUGCUCCUAGUACGAGAGGACCAGAGUGGACGAACCUCUGGUGUACCGGUUGUGACGCCAGUCGCAUCGCCGGGUAGCUAUGUUCGGAAGGGAUAACCGCUGAAAGCAUCUAAGCGGGAAGCCUACCUCAAGAUAAGAUUUCCCUAGGACUUUAUGUCCUCUAAAGAGCCGUUCGAGACUAGGACGUUGAUAGGUUGGAUGUGGAAGCAUAGUGAUAUGUGAAGCUGACCAAUACUAAUUGCUCGUGAGGCUUGACUAU
rnacentral:rRNA from 1 species